ACUGCAAUAGCUCAGUUGGUAGAGCAUCUGCCCGGAAAGCGGAGCAACGCCGCUUUGAUUCCGGCUCGCAGCU
rnacentral:tRNA from 1 species